rnacentral:sRNA from 1 species
ACGAGAAGUUGAAAAUCCACAGAAUCAAUUGAGAUGUAGUCAAGAAAUGGAGCCUGUAAUAACAUGUGAUAAAAAAUUUCGUACUCAAUUUUACAUUGACUGGUGCAAAAUUUCAUUGGUUGAUAAAACAAAGCAAGUGUCCACCUAUCAGGAAGUGAUUCGUGGAGAGGGGAUUUUACCUGAUGGUGGAGAAUACAAACCCCCUUCUGAUUCUUUGAAAAGCAGAGACUAUUACACGGAUUUCCUAAUUACACUGGCUGUGCCCUCGGCAGUGGCACUGGUCCUUUUUCUAAUACUUGCUUAUAUCAUGUGCUGCCGACGGGAAGGCGUGUGAGUACUUUAAAACUAAUA